UUUGUUUCUGAUUUACCCGUUUCCCCUGCAGAUUUUUCUUCUUUAUCUUCGAAUGAGUCCUUCCAUUGAUUUAUUUUCAUGGAACCCUCUUGUGUCUCCAUAAGUUGUAAGUCGUAGUCUGGCAUACGCCCAACUUUUUAUCCCCAGAGUCUCUGUCUCCCUAGUGAGCUUUCCUUACGGAAUGCAUUAUGCUCCUACAGACUUUCAGUCUCUCCGGAUUCUUUUUAUUUGUGGCAAC
rnacentral:lncRNA from 1 species